rnacentral:tRNA from 1 species
GCCUUCGUGGUGUAAUGGUCAAGCAGACUCAGCGCGUAUUCGAGAGGUCCGUGGUUCGAGUCCCGGCGAAGGCA